CCAGUAGGUCCAGAGUUGUUUGUGGAACAUUUGGGAUGUCAUAGAGUCCCCUGAGAGGAGCCAUGCCAAAAGCUUGAGAUGUCCCUGCAGUAUGAGGGGAUGUGGAUUGCCAUAGGGAUCCAGGACAAUCUUGUCGUGUACCGGUAGUAACCUCGGAAGAUCUAUGGACAGUUCCAGGAGUGUAGGGAACCAGAGUUGAGACAUCCAGAAGGGAGAUACGAGGAUUAGGGAGGUUCGGUGUCGUCUGAGGUGCAGCAAGGUCCGUGCGAU